rnacentral:rRNA from 1 species
UACGUAGGGUGCAAGCGUUAAUCGGAAUUACUGGGCGUAAAGCGUGCGCAGGCGGUUAUGUAAGACAGGUGUGAAAUCCCAGGGCUUAACCUUGGAACUGCAUUUGUGACUGCAUAGCUAGAGUACGGUAGAGGGGGAUGGAAUUCCGCGUGUAGCAGUGAAAAUUCGUAGAUAUUCGCAAGAACGACCAAGUGGCCGAAGGCGGCUCAACGUGGCC